GAAGAACGCUGGCGGCGUGCCUAAUACAUGCAAGUAGAACGAUGAAGAGAGGAGCUUGCUCCUCUUGGAAGAGUUGCGAACGGGUGAGUAACGCGUAGGUAACCUGACUUGUAGCGGGGGAUAACAAUUGGAAACGAUAGCUACUACCGCAUAACAAUGGAUGACCCAUGUCAUUUAUUUGAAAGGGGCAACUGCUCCACUACAAGAUGGACCUGCGUUGUAUUAGCUAGUAGGUGAGGUAACGGCUCACCUAGGCGACGAUACAUAGCCGGCCUGAGAUGGUGAUGGGCCUCACUGGGACUUAGACACGGCCCAGACUCCUACGGGAGGCAGCAGUAGGGAAUCUUCGGCAAUGGGGGCAACCCUGACCGAGCAACGCCGCGUAAGUGAAGAAGGUUUUCGUAUCGUAAAGCUCUGUUGUAAGUCAAGAACGAGUGAUAGAGUGGAAAGUUCACACUGUGACGGUAGCUUACCAGAAAGGGACGGCUAACUACGUGCCAGCAGCCGCCGUAA
rnacentral:rRNA from 1 species